UGGGGAAUUUUGGACAAUGGGGGCAACCCUGAUCCAGCCAUGCCGCGUGAGUGAAGAAGGCCUUCGGGUUGUAAAGCUCUUUCGGCGGGGACGAAACGGUCCGUGACAACACCACGGACUAAUGACAGUACUCGCAGAAGAAGCACCGGCUAACUAUGUGCCAGCAGCCGCGGUAAUACGUAGGGUGCAGGCGUUAAUCGGAAUUACUGGGCGUAAAGCGUGCGCAGGCGGCUCCUUAAGUCAGAUGUGAAAUCCCCGGGCUUAACCUGGGAACUGCGUUUGAAACUGAGGGGCUAGAGUGUGGAAGAGGGGGGUGGAAUUCCAGGUGUAGCAGUGAAAUGCGUAGAGAUCUGGAGGAACACCGAUGGCGAAGGCAGCCCCCUGGGCUAACACUGACGCUCAUGCACGAAAGCGUGGGGAGCAAACAGGAUUAGAUACCCCCGUAGUCCCUGAGCGGGCUGGCAAGGCGCAU
rnacentral:rRNA from 1 species